UACGGCCGCAUCACGUUGAAACAUUGGUUCCCGUACGAUCACUGAAGUUAAGCAACGCUGAGGCUGGUCAGUACUUAGUUGACCGCUUGUGAAUACCUGGUGCUGUAA